rnacentral:rRNA from 1 species
UACGGAAGGGGCAAGCGUUGUUCGGAAUCAUUGGGCGGAAAGGGCGCGUAGGUGGUUCUGUAUGUCUACCGUGAAAGCAUACAGCUCAACUGUAUUUUGUCGGUAGAAACUGCAGGACUUGAGGCUGGGAGGGGCUGGUGGAAUUCCCUGUGUAGCGGUGAAAUUCGUAGAUAUUGGGAAGAACACCGAUGGCGAAGGCAGCCAUCUGGACCGACACUGACGCUGAGGCGCGAAAGCGUGGGGAGCAAACAGG